rnacentral:rRNA from 1 species
CCCCUAGAUGUUCUGGGCCGCACGCGCGCUACACUGAACAGUUCAACAAGUCUUAACCUUGGCCGAUAGGUCUGGGUAAUCUUUGAACGCUGUUCGUGAUUGGGAUAGACCUUUGCAAUUAUGGGUCUUCAACGAGGAAUUCCUAGUAAACGCAAGUCAUCAGCUUGCAUUGAUUACGUCCCUGCCCUUUGUACACACUGCCCGUCGCACCUACCGAUUGAAUGGUCCGGUGAAAUCUCGGGACGGCGGCUUGGUCGCUUGCGUCCGACUGCUGAAACUUGAUUAAACCAUAUCAUUUAGAGGAAGGUGAAGUCGUANCA